UCCACUUGCUGUGUGUGUAUCACACGGAGCGCACCGCGGGCCGGGCUGGGGUUUUCCUGUCUCUUGCUAACUGGUCUUGUAUCUGAAUUCUAGAAUUGUGGGAUUUGAGAGCCGUUAAGAGAUGCCAGAUACCAUCUCGUCAUGUUGCAGAUUAGAGAAAUAGAAGCAGAUGAGUUGAAGUUUGCUCACAGUGCCUGUUCACAGCACAAAUGAGGAGCAGGAUGAGAUCUGGAGUCAGAGUCUGAGACUGUCAUGUCAGCUGUGCUACCUUUAAACUGGAUCUUCGUGCUGUGAAGUACUCAGCUCCGGGUCGUCCCAGAUCCGUGGGAAAGUGUAUACAAAGCAGAGUGAGAAGAGUGAAAAGCAAGGUCGUGUGUACACAUUGAUGGCAGCUCUGAGAAGCUUAUUUACACUCAGAGAAAGCAGGGGAGGGGCCGCAUUGUUGCAACUUGUUCUUGUUGAGGGGCUGGGGAUGUGAUUGGAGGUACAGUUGUUUUAGUAAUUAAUGUAGACUUAAAAAUAAUGUGUAUGUUCUUUGAAGGCAAAGAACUUACUCUACUUACCCCUUUUGGUCCCUCACAGACUGCUGGGUUGGAGCAAGGGAGCCCAGGGCUGGGAGGUCUGGAGAUGGUUCCCACCUGUGCGUUGUGGCUGCACUGCCGAAGCCUGGAGGAAAACAAAGCCCUGGGUUUCCACAGUGUCUGGAGGCCAUUGCAGGGAGUCUGUGGUCAUGGUGUUCUGGAGGAAACCUCCAUUCCCUCCCACUAGCCUCCCGAGUAUCUGCAAGUGGGGUGUGCUCCAGGGCUGGCUGAGGGGCUGGCGGGUGGCCUACACUCAAGCUGGCUCUGCAAGGUGGGGUUUGCAGUCCGCUGGGCCGCUGCCUUGGAAGCCACGAGGCUAUCAAGAGUCUGGAGCUGCAGCUUUUCCAUCUGGCUGGACAGGAAGCAGGAGAAGAAGCUGCUUUGGUCACACAACACCCUGGGGACUGUGCUCCCAUCCCCUACCACACACAGAUCUGGCCACCAGCGUGCCUUGGGAAGAGGGGGUGCAGGGGGACACACUUGUGUUAUGCACCAGGGCCUGUCUCGGGUUCCAUCCCUCAAGGCACUUCCCAUUCAUAUGUCUUUCCCUUUCACAUUCUCAACAUUUAUUUAGUUGUGGAUGAUGCUGAGGACUCUGCACAUGUCACAGCCUCAUUUGAUCCUUAGAAUACACCUGCAAAGUACAUGUGGCAGAGUGGGCUGGCUGCUCUUCCUUUAGCGGGAGUCCUGCUAGGAAAUAGCUGCUCAUCCGGGGCCACAUUUUCCAGCUCCUUAUGGUUAGUUCCAGACCUAGGAUUGAGUUCACUGAGCUCUGAUCCAUGGAUUGUGAGCAGAAGUGAGCUGCUCCACUGCAGAGCCGUCCCCAGGGGCCUCCCAGGAAGCACUUCUGUGCUCCGUCCUCAUCCCUUUCUGCCCAGAUGCAUCAGGAAAAACCUCUGCCUUGACCUUGGAAGCUACAGAUUUUAAAUGGCAGAACAAGGUCUGGAACUCAGGAGUUUGAGCUCAGCCUAAGCAAA